GUAGGUGGCAAGCGUGUCCGGAAUUAUUGGGCGUAAAGCGCGCGCAGGCGGUUCUUUAAGUCUGAUGUGAAAGCCCACGGCUCAACCGUGGAGGGUCAUUGGAAACUGGAGAACUUGAGUACAGAAGAGGAAAGCGGAAUUCCACGUGUAGCGGUGAAAUGCGUAGAGAUGUGGAGGAACACCAGUGGCGAAGGCGGCUUUCUGGUCUGUAACUGACGCUGAGGCGCGAAAGCGUGGGGAGCAAACAGGGAUUAGAUACCCUGGUAGUCCACGCCGUAAACGAUGAGUGCUAAGUGUUAGGGGGUUUCCGCCCCCUUAGUGCUGCAGCUAACGCAUUAAGCACUCCGCCUGGGGAGUACGGCCGCAAGGCUG
rnacentral:rRNA from 1 species